UUACUGCAACAAGAAAGCAAGGCAGACUGCAGGGAAGAAACCAUCUGAGCUGAUGACUUUUAUUGAGAGGGUGACUAAAGCAACUACUAGCUGGAAGGAGUAUGUGAGUUCUAAUGGAAAAAAGUAUUACUAUAACAAAGUUAGCAACGAGUCUCAGUGGGCGAUUCCUGAGGAGCUCAAG